AUGAAGAGCCCAGUAUAUCAAACGUGCAGUGGCUUUAUACGUUUGUUAAUGGAACGGAUUUGAAGACUGCAACAAAGAUCGCCUUGGACAAAUUUUUUGAUUAUUCACAUUUCAAUAAUGCUGCAGGUACAAUCGUUCCCAUCUCUGCUGCUUGGAUAAUUUAUGCCCCAUUUGUAAAUGGCAGGAUAAAACAGGAAUUUUCAUUUUUCAUUACACUGCCUCUUCAAGUCGAAAGUCCACCUGAUGCAAAUGAUCCAUCAGUUUCUGUCGUCUUUCAUCCUGAACAUUCAGCUUAUCUCAGGACAUUUGAGCAGAAAACUGAAGACUAUGACAGACUCGUGAAUGAAUUCAAAAAGGACUUGGAGAAAGACCACCGUUCCUUUCGCAGCCAUUAUGUCUUUAUCGGAUGGUACAACACACGGGGACUUGUGCAAAUAGCAUUUGAAACAAAGUGAAGCAUAAUCUCUCUCUCAGAGGUUCUACUACAUUUACAGAUUUCAAACAGUGAGAUGUGCUAAACUCUAUUCUUCACUUUAACAAGGGUCUCCCACCCACUACAACAACAACAUGUAUUUCUGUGGCAUCUUAAUGGAGCAAAACCUGCUCUGGGAAUCAAGGGAUAAGGGGAAAAAGCAGGAACAGGUUACUGAUUUUGGAUGAUCAGCCAUGAUCAUA